UCUUCAAGACACAGAUGAAUGGCACAUGCUUCUACUUGCAUUCCAUUGGCAAGAACACACGGCACACCAGCUGCCCACGGGGAUAGGGAAUCCCAGCUAGAAUUCCAUCCAAUAGAAGACAGAGGGGAGAGAAGAGCAGGGUAUUGGUAUCCACGCAAUUCAUCCAUUUAUUCCUCAAGCAUGUGUUAAGCGUUUGGCGAUGCUUCACGAUGUUGGACUCUGGACAUUCACAGAAGAUGAACACAUCUCACAAAAGGUGAAAAUGUUUAAAUCACCUGGGAUAAAGAACAUUCAGGGUUGAAAGAAUACAUGUUUGGUUAUAAUACUGCUUAUUAAGCAAGU
rnacentral:lncRNA from 10 species